CUUAGACGGCGAGGGGGUGGGCUUAGAAGCAGCCACCCUUUAAAGAAAGCGUAAUAGCUCACUAGUCGAGUCGGCCUGCGCGGAAGAUGUAACGGGGCUCAAACCAUGCACCG
rnacentral:ncRNA from 1 species